CAGCAUCUCUUGCCAUCUCGCCUCUCUUCCCAGUUCAACAGUGUUGGACAACUCGAGAAAUUCAGGUUGGCCAGGAAGGCUACAGAAGCCGACCCUGGAUGACUUAAAUAAAAAAAGAAGAGUGAAUUGAAUGAAUGCGUCAAUUCACAGUCAUGAUGGCAAAACCGAAGAACAGGUUGAGAGGAUGGUCGGAGCCAUGGGAGAGAAAGGCGGUCAGAAUCACAACACAAAUCAGACCACAGUGCAGCCUGAGACAUCAGAAAGAAUCUCUACUGCUCUCGCUUCUCUGUCGCCGCCUCCAGAGUCAAAGCCCCAGGGGAAACAGCCAACUGGCCCCAGUUCCCAUGAAGUGAGGAGGAGCUGGUGUCUGAGCUGAGUCCUAACCGGUCGAGAGGUUUUUCCAUCAGACCUGUCUGUGCUUUUCAAACCGUGCUCUUAAAGUCCCACAUUUUCAAGAUGAAGCUGUGGGGUCUUCCAUGAAGCCGGGAAGAAGAAGUU
rnacentral:lncRNA from 1 species